AUCCUCAGUUGGUAGAACAUCUGCUUUGCAUGCAGAAGGUUCCAGGUUCAAUUCCUAGCAUCUCUA